rnacentral:misc_RNA from 1 species
GAUGAAGAACGCAGCGAAAUGCGAUAAGUAAUGUGAAUUGCAGAAUUCAGUGAAUCAUCGAAUCUUUGAACGCACAUUGUGCCCGCCAGUAUUCUGGCGGGCAUGCCUGUUCGAGCGUCAUUUCAACCCUCAAGACCCCUUCGGGGGACUUGGUGUUGGGGACCGGCACAGGGGCCUGCCUGCUUGUCUUGCAGCGCCCUCGCCGCCCCCGAAAUGAAUUGGCGGCCUCGUCGCGGCCUCCCCUGCGUAGUAGCACAAACCUCGCAACGGGAACGUGACGGCGGCCACUGCCGUAAAACAACCCAAUUUUAUUAGAGUUGACCUCGAAUCAGGUAGGAAUACCCGCUGAACUUAAGCAUAUCAAUAAGCGGAGGA